CAGUAGCCGCGGUAAUACGUAGGUGGCAAGCGUUGUCCGGAAUUAUUGGGCGUAAAGGGUGCGUAGGCGGCUUGACAAGUCUUGUGUGAAAUCUAUGGGCUCAACCCAUAGUCUGCACGGGAAACUGUCGGGCUUGAGAAUGGGAGAGGUGAGUGGAAUUUCCGGUGUAGCGGUGAAAUGCGUAGAUAUCGGAAGGAACACCUGUGGCGAAAGCGGCUCACUGGACCAUUUCUGACGCUGAUGCGCGAAAGCGAGGGGAGCAAACAGGAUUAGAUACCCCGGUAGUCCCUGUCUCUUAUAA
rnacentral:rRNA from 1 species